rnacentral:lncRNA from 1 species
CGUUAACUUGCAAUCUUUACUAGACUAGGCCAAGGGACAGCGGCACUUCAGCAUCUGCCAGCAGGUUGAGGGAGGCCGUCCUUCCUCUCAGCUGCAUGGCAGCACCGGGUCCUCACUCAGUGCUGCCUGCAAGGGCUGCCACCCUCUUGCUUGAGGGCCCCCAGCCGCUCCCCCACUGAGGCGGUGGUGACCGUGAUGUCACAGUGCGUGUCAGAGUGCGCCCAUUGUGACGCACGAAGCUUGGAGCAGAGCAAAGGCUGCCGGGCUCAGCCCGAGUGUCAGUGCGGCCUGGCGAGGCGCGGAGAGUGCAGGGACACUCGCAGUGCUCGCUGUUAACGCACAUCAUGUCCACUAGGAAGAGGAAGGCCUCCAGCUCGGAGGAGCCAGUGUGCGUGCUGUGUGGCCGGGCAGAUGUCGACCCGAACAUCUGUGGGCACACACUUGAUGAGAAGGGGAUUCGUG